CUACACUUGAUUGGAUAUCAUUGUCGUGUGUGUGCAUACGGCCGUGUAUGUAUUUGUACCAUAUGUGUGAUUUAAUUAGUCUAUGUGACAAUAUGUGGUUAGUAAAUCUUUGUGUUAUUUUAUUGUGACAUAUUUGUGUGUUAUUUGUGGUGUUUAAACGGUAAUAGGAUUAUGGUCUAAGUGUUCAUGUCCAUGCAUAACACGUGUUUUGAAAAUUGAAAGAUUAAUGGAAUGUUUGGGUAGUAAACGAAUCGAAUACGGUGGGCCGGUAUCCAACUAGGGUUGAGAGGAGUGAUACGAGUGAUAUGAGUGAUAUUGGAUCCAUAGACGG
rnacentral:lncRNA from 1 species